rnacentral:rRNA from 1 species
AGCGAACGCUGGCGGCAGGCUUAACACAUGCAAGUCGAACGGGCACUUCGGUGCUAGUGGCAGACGGGUGAGUAACGCGUGGGAACGUGCCUUUCGGUUCGGAAUAAUCCAGGGAAACUUGGACUAAUACCGGAUACGCCCUUCGGGGAAAGAUUUAUCGCCGAAAGAUCGGCCCGCGUCUGAUUAGCUAGUUGGUGAGGUAAAGGCUCACCAAGGCGACGAUCAGUAGCUGGUCUGAGAGGAUGAUCAGCCACACUGGGACUGAGACACGGCCCAGACUCCUACGGGAGGCAGCAGUGGGGAAUAUUGGACAAUGGGCGAAAGCCUGAUCCAGCCAUGCCGCGUGAGUGAUGAAGGCCUUAGGGUUGUAAAGCUCUUUUGUCCGGGAAGAUAAUGACUGUACCGGAAGAAUAAGCCCCGGCUAACUUCGUGCCAGCAGCCGCGGUAAU